GACGUAGCGCUGUUGUUUUUAGGCCUCCAUCCUACAUAAGUUACUUAUCAAACCCGAAGCCUGCAUGCUACAGCCCUCCCGCUAGCAACCAAACAAAACAGAGCGGCCGGAGAAACACGGCCAGACACGCACGGACAACGCGGCGUUCGGCUGCUUUUCUCCUGACAGCUGGAUGACAUUAAGCGCAAACGCAGCACUGAACCGACGAGAGCAAUACUGCGAGAUCUUGGAGGACGGCCCAGGACGGUGCAUGCAGGGGAAUAUGGCACGACGGUUGGUUCGAUCCUGAGUCCAUGCAGAGUUUGGUUCCUCCGUGGGUUUCCUCCGGGUUCUGCGCUUUCCUCCCAACUCCCAAGAAAAAAAAAAUGCCGGAAACCUGGAGCCGAUCCCAGGGAACACUACGGACACUUUGGACACGCCGAUCAGUCUACCGUGCAUGUGUUUGGACUGGGGGAGGAAAGCGGAGUACCCGGAGGAAACCCCCGCAGCACGGGGAGAACACGCAAACUCCGCACACACAGGGCCACGGUGGGAAUCGAACCCCCGACCCUGGAGGUGUGAGGCGAACGUCCCUCAAAAUCCCUGAAACCCCAAGAAUCCCUUAAAAGACUCUGUAAAAAGACGAAAAACAACCAAAUAUUAAAAUAUAUUUUAGUGACAAGUUUUAUUAUAAGCUGCUAUAUAGAUCUGGUGAAUAAAUAUUUCCCCCUCAAUCUUAAAGAAAUAUAAUAUAUAUAUAUAUAAUUUUUUUAACGUAUUGUAUAGUUCACUCCAAAAACAUGUUUCUAGAGCUUCACAUUAAAACCUUCAAUAAUGUAAUUAAAAUGGCUCAAAAACUAUAUAAACAUAUACUAUAUUUAUA